AACCUGGUUGAUCCUGCCAGUAGUCAUAUGCUUGUUUCAAGGAUUAAGCCAUGCAAGUCUCAGAGUAAAUGGAUUAACAGUGGAUCUGCAGACGGCUCAUUAAAUCGGCAACAAUCUACGCGGGGAAAGUGCCUCUCGGCUCUCAGUUGGAUAUCAAUGGUAACUCCAUUGCUAAUACAUGUCCGAAAAAUCCAACUCACAUUCCACCCCAUGGGGGAGACCCCGUGGGGGUGAGGUGGAUACAGUUGACCGGAAUAAAAACCAACGCCAGCAAUGGCAGUGGUGUGUGGAUGAAACAGGUCAACCGAGUGAUAGCACACUCCCUCGAGGAGGUGCAAGCCCGCAAGAGCUUCUGCCCUAUCAGCUUUUGACGGUAGUGUAGUGGACUACCGUGGCCGUAACGGGUAACGGGGAAUUAGGGUUCGAUUCCGGAGAGGGAGCCUGAGAAACGGCUACCACAUCUAAGGAUGGCAGCAGGCGCGCAAAUUGCCCAAUAGCAACACUGCUGAGGCAGCGAAGAGAAAUAGUAACUUCUAGUACCUAGUGCUAUGGAGAUUGCAAUGGAUGAUAUCUAAACCUGUCAGUGAGUAUCAAUUGGUGGACAAGUCUGGUGCCAGCACCCGCGGUAAUUCCAGCACCAAUAGCGUAUAUUAAUGCUGCUGCUGUUAAAAAGCUCGUAGUUGGAUCCAGAGUUCAGGUUGCAAUACGGCUCAUUCCUAGUGUUGACGCGUACUGCUGAUACAUUCAGGCUUGAGGUACACCGUUUGCGUCAAGACCUGAGCUCUAUGAACGGUGGUAAUGGAGCUCUGUGAGUAGGCCCCUUCAUUGGGGUUGAAAGCGCCUACGCAUAUACCAUAUGCUUACGGGUCGACCACCGAUGUUACUGUGAACAAACCAGCGUGUCCAAAGCAGGCGUAUGCCUUGAAUGAUAAAGCAUGGAAUAACAAGGGAUCGAUUCUCUCGGUUCUUUUUGUUGGUUUUUAACCCGGAAGGAGUAAUUCAAGUGACGGACCCUAGUCGCGUUGGUCUUAGGACUUUCGCUUCUAGACCGUCGCCCAGCGGGAUCAAUAGGGACUGCCGGGGUCGUACGUACUCCCACGUCAGAGGUGAAAUUCUUAGAUCGUGGGAAGACGAACUUCUGCGAAAGCAUUCGACAAGAAUGUCUUCAUUAAUCAAGAACGAGAGUGUGGGGAUCGAAGAUGAUCAGAUACCGUCGUAGUCCACUACUGUAAACGAUGCCGUCUCAGGAUCGAGAGAUGUUCUUCUAAUGGCUCUCACGGCACUAACCCCUGAAACGAGAAAUCAAAGAUUAUGGGUUCAGGGGGGAGUACAUUCGCAAGGCUGAAACUUAAAGGAAUUGACGGAAUGACACCACCAGGCGUGGAGUAUGCGGCUUAAUUUGACUCAACACGGGGAAUUUUACUAGGUCAGGACAAUGUAAGGAUUGACAGAUUGAGAGCUCUUUCUCGAUCCAUUGUGUGGUGGUGCAUGGCCGCUCCUGGUUGGUGGAGUGAUUUGUCUGGUUGAUUCCGUUAACGAACGAGAUCUCGACCCUUAAAUAGGUGUACCGUCGUUUAGGGUAUAUUGUAUUGAUGCAUUAGCUGAUAAUACAUUUGCCUGAGACAGUGCAAUACUUCUUAAGGGGACUGCAUGCGUCUCUAGCAUGCGGAAGAGCGAGCCAAUAGCAGGUCUGUGAUGCUCCUAAAUGUCCUAGGCUGCACGCGCACUACACUGACGCAUUAAACGAGUCUGAUUGCCUUUCGGCAACCUAUCUUGAAGAGGAUGGGAAAUCUUUUGAACUUGCGUCGUGAUGAGGAUCGAUGAUUGCAAUUAUUCUCCUUGAAUGAGGAAUGCCUAGUAGGCGCAAGUCAUCAGCUUGCACUGAUUACGUCCCUGCCAUUUGUACACACCGCCCGUCGUUGCUACCGAUUGGCUGUGGGAUAGAGCUGGGGGGAGGGUGUCUCUUAAGGGCGACCUUUUGAGACGUCGCGAAUCCCAGCAAUAUUUCUCAGCUAGAGGAAGCAAAAGUCGUAACAAGGUUGCUGUAGGUGAACCUGCAGAAGGAUC
rnacentral:rRNA from 1 species